rnacentral:tRNA from 1 species
UGUGGUAUAGCUCAGUGGUAGAGAACUUGCCUAGCAUGCAUGAGGCCCUAGGUUCCAUCCCAGCACCAUAC